UACGUAGGGUGCGAGCGUUGUCCGGAAUUAUUGGGCGUAAAGAGCUCGUAGGCGGUCUGUCGCGUCGAUCGUGAAAACUUGGGGCUUAACCCUGAGCUUGCGGUCGAUACGGGCAUGACUGGAGUUCGGCAGGGGAGACUGGAAUUCCUGGUGUAGCGGUGAAAUGCGCAGAGAUCAGGAGGAACACCGGUGGCGAAGGCGGGUCUCUGGGCCGAUACUGACGCUGAGGAGCGAAGGCGUGGGGAGCGAACAGG
rnacentral:rRNA from 1 species